rnacentral:rRNA from 1 species
UACGAAGGGGGCUAGCGUUGUUCGGAAUUACUGGGCGUAAAGCGUGCGCAGGCGGUUCGUUGUGUCGGUGGUGAAAGCCCCGGGCUUAACCUGGGAAUGGCCAUGGAAACUGGCGAACUGGAGUGUGGCAGAGGGGGGUGGAAUUCCGCGUGUAGCAGUGAAAUGCGUAGAGAUGCGGAGGAACACCGAUGGCGAAGGCAGCCCCCUGGGCUAGCACUGACGCUCAGGCACGAAAGCGUGGGGAGCAAACAGG